UCUCUCCCGCCCCAGGCAGGUGAAGGGCAUGGCACCUCCGCUGCAUCCCCACCUGCACAUGUGUCCUCUCUUCCAUCUGGUGCCAGCACAGGACUCUUGGCUCACAGCUCAGUAACAGAGGCCAGGGAGUGGGGUGUAUGAGCAAGACCUCGUCACCCUUGAGGCAGGCUAAGCCUGCCCUGGAAGCCAGGAGGCUCGAAGUUAAAGCUGUGUGACCUGGGGCAAGUCACUCUCCCAUGCCCAGUCUCAUCCAUGAACUGACCAUGAUAUUCUCUCAAGACUUGUUACUCCCUGAUCACUCAUUGGAUCAAGGGAUUAGAACUCAAAUGACACGGUGCCAACCUGCCUUUCCAGAGGGUUCUAUCUCCCACUGUUCCCAUCCCAAACCUUCACUGCCACCCUCCAGCCCAAAACCCCAAGGGCAGGCCCAAGGGACACCCAGCGAGAAGCCCUUUACCCUCCCGCUUCAGAGUCUUUGAAUCACUAACUGCCAGACCAUAAGACUGCCAUCAGCCACCCAGGCAAGGGGCCGCAAGCAGUGGGAACCCUGGUGCCAUCAGGAGCUGGCAGCCAGCUUAUUAACGAACCGUUUGUGGCUGAACUCUCAGCAGGGAGUGGCCACUCAGCAACCCUCCAGCAGGCCACGGAUCAUCAUAAGGCCCCAGUGCAUCUGUGGGCUCUGACCCAGCACAGACAUCUCAACACUCAAUAUGUAAACUCAAGAUUCAGGACUUCAUGGACAUGAUCUAUCAGAUCCUAACAGGUAGCCCAAGAUUUGGAAAAUGAAGACAUUGGGCAUUCAUUGGGCUCUGACGAUAUUUCAGACAUAAGGUCCAUUCAUGUGGAUUCUCUCAUUAAAUCCUCCCAGCAAGUC